ensembl:snoRNA
UUGCACUGUUCGUAACCUGUUGACAGCUCUUUUCUGACGAUGGGUUCCAUUCCGGUGCUACAGUAACAUCCCAAAGGAAGUCAAGAUUGACUGAUGUCUUUCCGUAUUCGCAUUUGGGAGACAACU